rfam:Aedes albopictus isolate Foshan contig140681, whole genome shotgun sequence.
UAGCCUAGUGAUUAAGGCUAUGGAUCGCUAAUCCGGAGAUGGCGGGUUCGAUUCCCGU